ensembl:snRNA U6 U6 spliceosomal RNA
CCGCUCGCUUCGGCAGCACAUACAUUAAAAUCGGAACGAUCCAGAGAUUAGCAUGGCCUCUGUGCAAGGCAGAUACACACAUUUGUGAAGCAUUCCAUAUGAAA